rnacentral:misc_RNA from 1 species
GAUGAAGAACGUAGCGAAAUGCGAUAAGUAAUGUGAAUUGCAGAAUUCAGUGAAUCAUCGAAUCUUUGAACGCACAUUGCGCCCGCCAGUAUUCUGGCGGGCAUGCCUGUUCGAGCGUCAUUUCAACCAUCAAGCCCCAGGCUUGUGUUGGGGACCUGCGGCUGCCGCAGGCCCUGAAAACCAGUGGCGGGCUCGCUGUCACACCGGGCGUAGUAGAUUUUAUCUCGCUCAGGGCGUGCUGCGGGUUCCGGCCGUUAAAAAGCCUUGUUUACCCAAGGUUGACCUCGGAUCAGGUAGGAAGACCCGCUGAACUUAAGCAUAUCAAUAAGCGGAGGA